rnacentral:rRNA from 1 species
CCUACGGGAGGCAGCAGUAGGGAAUCUUCCACAAUGGGCGCAAGCCUGAUGGAGCAACACCGCGUGAGUGAAGAAGGGUUUCGACUCGUAAAGCUCUGUUGUUGGAGAAGAAGGUGCGUGAGAGUAACUGUUCACGCAGUGACGGUAUCCAACCAGAAAGUCACGGCUAACUACGUGCCAGCAGCCGCGGUAAUACGUAGGUGGCAAGCGUUAACCGGAUUUAUUGGGCGUAAAGCGAGCGCAGGCGGUUGCUUAGGUCUGAUGUGAAAGCCUUGGGCUUAACCGAGGAAGUGCAUCGGAAACCGGGCGACUUGAGUGCAGAAGAGGGGAGUGGAACUCCAUGUGUAGCGGUGGAAUGCGUAGAGAUCUGGAAGAAUACCAGUGGCGAAGGCGGCUGUCUGGACUGCAACUGACGCUGAGGUUCGAAAGCAUGGGUAGCGAACAGGAUUAGAUACCCGUGUAGUC